UAGGGAAUCUUCGGCAAUGGGGGGAACCCUGACCGAGCAACGCCGCGUGAGUGAAGAAGGUUUUCGGAUCGUAAAGCUCUGUUGUUAAGGAAGAACGAGUGUGAGAAUGGAAAGUUCAUACUGUGACGGUACUUAACCAGAAAGGGACGGCUAACUACGUGCCAGCAGCCGCGGUAAUACGUAGGUCCCGAGCGUUGUCCGGAUUUAUUGGGCGUAAAGCGAGCGCAGGCGGUUAGAAAAGUCUGAAGUGAAAGGCAGUGGCUCAACCAUUGUAGGCUUUGGAAACUGUUUAACUUGAGUGCAGAAGGGGAGAGUGGAAUUCCAUGUGUAGCGGUGAAAUGCGUAGAUAUAUGGAGGAACACCGGUGGCGAAAGCGGCUCUCCGGUCUGUAACUGACGCUGAGGCUCGAAAGCGUGGGGAGCGAACAGGAUUAGAUACCCUGGUAGUCCACGCCGUAACGAUGAGUGCUAGGUGUUAGGUCCUUUCCGGGACUUAGUGCCGCAGCUAACGCAUUAAGCACUCCGCCUGGGGAGUACGACCGCAAGGUU
rnacentral:rRNA from 1 species